rnacentral:rRNA from 1 species
AUUGAACGCUGGCGGCAGGCCUAACACAUGCAAGUCGAACGGUAACAGGAAGCAGCUUGCUGCUUUGCUGACGAGUGGCGGACGGGUGAGUAAUGUCUGGGAAACUGCCUGAUGGAGGGGGAUAACUACUGGAAACGGUAGCUAAUACCGCAUAACGUCGCAAGACCAAAGAGGGGGACCUUAGGGCCUCUUGCCAUCGGAUGUGCCCAGAUGGGAUUAGCUAGUAGGUGGGGUAACGGCUCACCUAGGCGACGACCCCUAGCUGGUCUGAGAGGAUGACCAGCCACACUGGAACUGAGACACGGUCCAGACUCCUACGGGAGGCAGCAGUGGGGAAUAUUGCACAAUGGGCGCAAGCCUGAUGCAGCCAUGCCGCGUGUAUGAAGAAGGCCUUCGGGUUGUAAAGUACUUUCAGCGGGGAGGAAGGGAGUAAAGUUAAUACCUUUGCUCAUUGACGUUACCCGCAGAAGAAGCACCGGCUAACUCCGUG